CCGCCGCCUUCGCGGGAACUCGGCGUUUGAACGGUGGGGCGUGGCUGCAGCUGGCGCGGCUCUUCCAGGUGGGGCUUUCCGCGUUAGGAAGCUUCGAUUGGCUGUUGCCGGGAGGGGCAAGGGCAAGGCUGAGGCCGGGGGCGACUCCAGUUUAUAGGGUCUUCGUCUUCAGUCCCCGAGCUGGGAGACAGCAUUAAGGACUGGCUGUGCAGGAGGACUCACCCAGGUUCUUCGCCUGCCUGCCCGGAGCUCUGCGUGCACGUUGAAGUCGUCCCUCUGCAUCCUCACACUUUUCUCGAGGUGACAGAAUUCCUGCCACUUUCGCCAUUGCCUACAUCUGACAGAACAGCUGGAGCAGGGCUCAGUGGUUGGGAUGGCUCCUGGUUUACUGCUUCUGAGCGACCCAAACUGAAUACUACCCUGGAUACCUUCCCUCGAUGAAGAAAAGUUUUGAGCAAGGAACUUGGACUGGAAACUUAGACUUUAGAAUUUAGUACGUGUGUGUUCGGACCUGACGUUAGGUCCUAAUACUGAUCGGGUUUUUUCGCACAGCAUCCCGAUUUGUCAGCUCUAGGACUGGAGGUAUUUGGCCCACGUGUAGGAGUAAAGGCCAUCCUGACAUCAGCACCA